GCCUGGCGUGGUGGCGCACGCCUGUAAUCCUAGCUACUCGGGAGGCUGAGGCGGGAGAAUCGUUUGAACCCAGGAGACAGAGGUUGCAGUGAGCCAAGAUCACACCGCUGCCAUCCAGCCUGGGUGACAGAGCGAGACUCUGUCUCAA
rnacentral:sRNA from 1 species